GUUCCAGCCUGAAGAUUCUUUUGGUCCACAUGAUGCCCUUGAAAGAUUUACCCUGAUCAUGGAGGAGUUUGUUUGUCCUUAUUGUCAAAUGAUAACCUAGCAUCCACUACUUCUGAUCUUAGAUUAGGCAAUUAUAUUUAAUAAAAGUUUUCAGUUCUCAUUUUGUUAGAUUUAAGGAGAGGUUUGAUCCUUUUGUUGUCAGAUCAGUGAAUCAUAUGGG
rnacentral:lncRNA from 1 species